rnacentral:ncRNA from 1 species
GGGACGGAUUCGAACCGCCGAACCCUGAGGGAGCGGAUUUACAGUCCGCCGCGUUUAGCCACUUCGCUACCCCUCCAUAUAAAAAACCAAAUGGUGCCGGCCAGAGGACUUGAACCCCCAACCUACUGAUUACAAGUCAGUUGCUCUACCAAUUGAGCUAGGCCGCGGGGUGGGAGACAGUGUCAGGCAGGCAGUUUGACUGGGGCGGUCGCCUCCUAAAAGGGAACGGAGGCGCCCAAAGGUUCCCUCAGAAUGGUUGGAAAUCAUUCGCAGAGUGUAAAGGCACAAGGGAGCUUGACUGCGAGACCUACAAGUCGAGCAGGGACGAAAGCUG